rnacentral:lncRNA from 1 species
UUCUUUCACCAUCAUCCUCAUAGCUUAUUGUUGUACCAGUACACACCUUUCUUGUCACCUUCCCUGUCCGGUUCUACAUAGAUACACUCCUUUGCCUCCCUAUACAUCGCCACAUACCACGGUGUUCCAUCAAACUGGUAAUAGUCUCCGAGUAUAGGCUUUAUCGCCUUUGUAGCUUCCAUCGCGUUGUAAUGAGGCAUUGUCGAGAACAGAUGAUGAGCCACAUGUGUGUCCGUGAUGUUGUGGAACACCUUGUUCAAGAUUCCAUAGUCUCUGUCUACGGUAGCCAAAGCUCCCCUAAGCCAAUCCCACUCGGAUGAAUCGUAGUGAGGCAACGCAGGAUGAGUGUGCUGCAAGUAUGUGAUCA